UACGUAGGGUGCGAGCGUUAAUCGGAAUACUGGGCGUAAAGCGUGCGCAGGCGGUGAUGUAAGACAGAUGUGAAAUCCCCGGGCUCAACCUGGGAACUGCAUUUGUGACGUGCAUCGCUGGAGUGCGGCAGAGGGGGAUGGAAUUCCGCGUGUAGCAGUGAAAUGCGUAGAUAUGCGGAGGAACACCGAUGGCGAAGGCAAUCCCCUGGGCCUGCACUGACGCUCAUGCACGAAAGCGUGGGGAGCAAACAGG
rnacentral:rRNA from 1 species